rnacentral:lncRNA from 13 species
GUCUGGGGUUUUCUUCCCGGGCAGGUUGUGUGCUCAGGGCCCCAGGGGAAUCUGGGAUAAGACGCUGGGGGCGCUGCCGUGGGAAAGGCCAAGGGACACCGUCUGGACGGGUUCCCCGAGACCACGUGCUCUAAGCCCCGAAUCUGAUCCCAGGCAGGGUGCCCUGCCUCUCCCAGCUCCGUCUCUGCUCCCCAGCGGACCCGCUGUCUCCAGCAGACCUGGAGGUUCUUUCAUUCCAUCAACACUGUUGGGGAGGCUACUUGGACCAGGCACUGUUCUAGGCAUUAUGGACAGAUCAUGA